CUGGGUGUUGUUUUUUUUAACAGGUGGGUGGUGGGUCGGUGGGGAAGUAGCAUGUGGGUUUUUUUUAAUUUUCCAUGUAAUUAUGACACUUGUAAUGUUUGAGCUGUAGGAGCUGGAAGCUGCUCUGAGGUUGUGCAGGAGGAAGUUUGUGUCUGAGACCAUCAAAGCCUUUGUCUGAAAUAAACACUGCCAUUCUUUGCUGAGCAAAGGGGGAGCGGGUAGGAGGUCCUCAAAUGCCACUUGGGCCUAGGUAUGUCCUGCUUUACCCACCUGAAGAGGUCUCAGAAUGGGGCCCUGUGCUGACUCACCAGUGAGCUGUGCCAGCUACUCACCUGUAGCCUCCAUCCUGUUGCUGCAGCACAUGGUCUGCUGGGGGUAGGAAUAUAUACCACUGCAGGGGGAGCCUGGCACCUACCUCUCUCAUUCCUGCUGGAAUACAGCAGCUUUGUCACUCUGAGCUACAUUCCUUUCAUUUAAAUCAGAGCUGAAUGGUUUAAAAACAGGCUUAAGCUAGGUCAAGUGGCUUCCUCCUUCCUCAGCAUCCACCCUGAGUGGGAAUGUCAGUGCCCCUUUAAAAGAUCCUGGGGACUCUGAAUCAGUCACUGCCUCAUAUUCUUCUGGUCUGCAGUUUUACUUCAACAGCAGUGCCUCUGUCAUGCUCAAGAGAACCAAGGUGGUGGGGGACAGCUGCACAGACUAGCUAGGCAAGGAGUGCACAGCCAGCUGCUAGGGAGGGCUUGGUUCUUGACAACUCAAUGAAUUCCACCAAAUCAAGACCGUUGUAGGGUAUUUAGUUAUGUGCAAUGUUUGACCUUGUUUCCCAAACAAUGCAAAUGAAACCGCCUUAAAUCUUCACUGGAACUGUACUUCCAGUCCCCGCAGGUGUAAAAUAAAAGUAUGUAUGUGAGUGGGUGCAUGUGAGUAUUUGGACUGCCAUUUGCCAUGUGUCUUUUCAGACAAACCUACUGCAGGCGUAGGAGGAAAUAAAAGGGAAGGAGGCCAGAGCAUCUGCCCAACUCUGUCUUCUGACUCUCUUCCUGGCUGAUGGAACGGGCGGGUGAGAGGGCUGCCUGAGCUGGAGGGGGCAGCAGGACACUAGGAGACUCACUCACAGUAUGGAAAGAGUCUGUACUUGUGCUGCUCCAGAUCAGAAGGAUGGCUGUCCUACUGCAAAUUUAGUUAUGGCUUUAAAAAAAAGUGAAAUGUCCC